CACACACACACACACACACACAGCUUCACGUCAAAGCUGCUGUGUUGGUUUUCUUCUCACACCUCUGAUUGUUUUAGAGGUUAAACAAACAAACAGGCGAGCCAGAAAAAUGACACCUGACGAGGAACGCUCGCUCCCUGCAUGCACGCCGCUCAGACCGAGCAAUUAGAGCGCCGCAGAGGAUUGUAGAGCACGUGUGAGGCAUGAGGAGGUGCAAGUAUUUCAAGGAGGAGUGGUUUCAUGCAGCGUUUACAGACUGAACGCUGCUGCAGUCGUGCAGGACGUCAGCAUGCUUCCAUGUGUUGUGCUCGUCUUCACUUAGAGUUUCACUCCAUCAUCACAGUGCAACACAAAGUCAGUUAAACUUUUCCUAACUGGACAUCCAUCUGUCCGGGAAGCAGAGACCAUUGUGUGCGCUCUCUUUAUCCCUGCUGAGUUUUCUCUAGUUUUGCUUUUUGCUGCUGACAGCAUGAGACGGUACCUGCAGCCUCUCAGGUGGAACAGGUGAGGACAUCCAUAGGUGUCAUCAUGAGUGAGGAGGAGAUACCAGAAGACAGCUCAUCACAUGUUGGGAGCUGGACAGGACCUACCCCAUCAGCAGGAUCAGUAUCUGCUCCUUUGUGUGAGGAGGAACGGGAUGAGCCUUCAGCUGGUCCCUCAUGUGACUCCCAAAGUCUCGUCUAACACUUUAGUUCAGCUCCAGAUCAGUGAAAGAACGUCUGGUCGGCAUCAUCUGACCACAACAAGCUUUCUGUACCUGCAGCUGUCCUGAGCUCACAACUGCUUUCUAAAUUAAUCCGUUCAUUUUUUCACUGAAUCAAACCAAACUGAGUUUGACACUCUGUGCUUUAAAAUAACUGCCCAAAGGUGUUACCAAGAUGGCUGCUAAGUGAUGAAAUAAACUUGUAGAAGACAGCUGGCUUAAAGUGGGAGGAGCUUGUUUCAGACAGAGGAUGAACUAAGGGGCUACACCAAAGCCCAGUAUAAUAUGAAGAAGGAUUAUUUUGAACUGUGACUCAUGCAAAGCUGCUCUGGUUGAGUCCAAGUGUAAAGACAUGGAGCUGGAAACAAGCAGUAUAAUAACUAAUGGCAAUAACUGUUCAUAAAGUUGCUACACUACGAGGUUUUAAACACAAACAGCAGGACACGAGUGGCUGUAAUACCUUCUUAACCCACAAGGAGGCAGAGUUUGACUGUUGCUUGCUGCAGGAACUCACAUCAGACAAGCAUCGACGUGCUGCCUCCAAUCAGCCUUUUGGGAACCGAAUCCUCGAGUGUGAUCGUCCCGGUACACGUGGACGGAGAGAGGAACAGGAGCAGCAUCUCUGCAGCCCCUCUGUGCUCGCCUCCAGCACGAGAACUGAUUUACGGCGUGGAGCGGUGGGAUUUCACUCGCUGGCUGUCAUGUCGUCACCGCGGCAGCAGAUAGAUGUGCCCUGCAGUGAUGCGACAUGUACAUACUUGGAGGUGGUUUCACCAGAACAGGACGGAUGUUCACGGUCCCUGCACUCUGUCAGGGAAGCAAACUUUCAGGGGGAAAACAGAAGCAGGUCAAAUAUUUGUCCUCUCCAUAAAUAGAUUCAUAUGAUGAGCCGCAUGCAGCCGCUGCAUGACAGCUUUGCUAACAACAGAUUGCAUGUUUCUCAAACGUAUUUAUGUAUUUAGGCAGUUUGAGUCGUCCAUUUAAAGGAUCGUAGUUUUCUACAGCGUGGAAGCUCGCUCUGCAGAUGUGCUCCUGUUUCUGCUGAACUUCAGUCGAAUUAAACCAAAAUGACUCCAUAAACAAAAACAGGUCACAUGACUGAGUUCAGAGACAGCUUUGUGUGUCCUGCACAUUCUGCAGCCUGCUGCGAGUCCAACACCACCUCCUGCCUGUAUUUCCACACAGCUGGAACAAUCUGUGAGCAGAUGUCAGGAGAACAAAGAACCCUCACACAGAGGGGAAACUCUGAGCUGUGCAUCCUUACUUUAGAAAAAAAGUGAGUGUAACCUCUGACCCUGUUAAGGAAAUGUUGCAGAAUGA